GAUGAACGCUAGCGGCAGGCUUAACACAUGCAAGUCGAGGGGUAGAGGAAGCUUGCUUCCUUGAGACCGGCGCACGGGUGCGUAACGCGUAUACAAUCUACCUUUUACAGAGGGAUAGCCCCAGAGAAAUUUGGAUUAAUACCUCAUAGUAUGUGAGGAUGGCAUCAUUUUCACAUUAAAGUCACAACGGCAAAAGAUGAGCAUGCGUCCCAUUAGCUAGUUGGUAAGGUAACGGCUUACCAAGGCUACGAUGGGUAGGGGUCCUGAGAGGGAGAUCCCCCACACUGGUACUGAGACACGGACCAGACUCCUACGGGAGGCAGCAGUGAGGAAUAUUGGACAAUGGGCGCAAGCCUGAUCCAGCCAUGCCGCGUGCAGGAUGACGGUCCUAUGGAUUGUAAACUGCUUUUGUACAGGAAGAACAUACUCGUGAAGUAGACUUGACGGUACUGUAAG
rnacentral:rRNA from 1 species